rnacentral:rRNA from 1 species
UACGGGGGGGGUAAGCGUUGUUCGGAAUUACUGGGCGUAAAGGGCUCGUAGGCGGCCAACUAAGUCGGACGUGAAAUCCCUCAGCUUAACUGGGGAACUGCGUCCGAUACUGGAUGGCUUGGAUUCGGGAGAGGAAUGCGGAAUUCCAGGUGUAGCGGUGAAAUGCGUAGAUAUCUGGAGGAACACCGGUGGCGAAGGCGGCAUCCUGGACCAAUUCUGACGCUGAGGAGCGAAGGCCAGGGGGAGCAAAACAGGA